UACGGGGGGGGUAAGCGUUGUUCGGAAUUACUGGGCGUAAAGGGCUCGUAGGCGGCCAACUAAGUCAUACGUGAAAUCCCUCAGCUUAACUGGGGAACUGCGUGUGAUACUGGAUGGCUUGGAUUUGGGAGAGGGAUGCGGAAUUCCAGGUGUAGCGGUGAAAUGCGUAGAUAUCUGGAGGAACACCGGUGGCGAAGGCGGCAUCCUGGACCAAUAUUGACGCUGGGGAGCGAAAGCCAGGGGAGCAAACGGG
rnacentral:rRNA from 1 species